AGGGAUAGCCACCGGAAACGGUGAUUAAUACCUCAUAAUACCGAAAGUUCACAUGGACAGUCGGUCAAAGAUUUAUCGGUACAGGAUGGACCUGCGUCUGAUUAGUUAGUUGGUGAGGUAACGGCUCACCAAGGCGACGAUCAGUAGCCGACCUGAGAGGGUGAUCGGCCACAUUGGAACUGAGACACGGUCCAAACUCCUACGGGAGGCAGCAGUGGGGAAUAUUGCACAAUGGGGGAAACCCUGAUGCAGCAACGCCGCGUGAAUGAAGAAGGCCUUUGGGUUGUAAAAUUCUGUUCUGAGGGAAGAAGAAAGUGACGGUACCUCAGGAGAAAGCCCCGGCUAACUACGUGCCAGCAGCCGCGGUAAUACGUAGGGGGCAAGCGUUGUCCGGAAUCAUUGGGCGUAAAGAGUACGUAGGCGGUUUGGCAAGCGUAAGGUUUAAGGCAACAGCUCAACUGUUGUUCGCCUUGUGAACUGUCAAACUUGAGUGCGGGAGAGGAAAGCGGAAUUCCUGGUGUAGCGGUGAAAUGCGUAGAUA
rnacentral:rRNA from 1 species